rnacentral:lncRNA from 1 species
UAUAUUAUAGUUGUUUUAAUUGUGUUUUAUUAUAUAGUUUUAAAUAAUAUAAUGUUAUAUUUUAUAGACUAUAUUUAAAUUUGUAUAGGUCUUGCACAUCUGGGACAAUGGGACAAAACAGGAUAAAGAGAGAUGCCAAGAGAGAAGGAGUCAGGAAUUGUCCUUUUGUUUUGAUUCAGACAAUGGUGGGCAGUAUUCCUUUCAAUUGCACAGAGAAUGAGAAUAAAUAUUGGAUUUGUCAUAUAAUAAAAAUGAUAAAAAGUUCCUGGAAACUGUAGGGGAAUUUAUCUGUGUAUUUUAAAUAGACAUUUGUAAAUAUGAUUCCAGACAUAAGCAGAGGAGUCUAAUCAAGAGAGUGUUUUGGACAAGGUGGUGCAGCUUGGAGAUUUGGAGGAGAGGUCUGUCCACCCUGCAACACUGUGGUCUGGAGAUCCAUCUGGAGGAGAGCCCCUCAACCAUAAGAGUCACUCUUAUUCCCCAAAGCAUGGCUCCACAGCUCAACAUCAGGAUACAUAUAGGCUUGAGGCUGCCACCACCAUGAAACUGUGAUAUUGCAGCUUCUAUCAAAAGACAAUAAUAGGAACCUGGUAAGACAUCACCAAGGUUUCUGUGGGCCUGGCUGCACCAGAGGUUUCUCUACUAGGGGUUCUAACAGUUAUCCUGUCACUAAGAUAACAGGGAGUCUUGUAUGGGGUUGCCUAUUUCUAGUUUCUCCUACUAACAGCCAACUUCUUAUGAUUACCCUCUCACUUGUCAUAUAAUCUAAUACCUCCAUAUUCUCACAUCCUACCUCAUAAACAUCUCAGCCAACCCCCUAGUUCCUUCUUCUACCAUUAGAAACUGUAAACCAUUAUGCAAACCUAUUGAUUAUAUGGUAAAAGAUAACUGAGCUCAUCAUUUCUGAUUAUAGUUACAAAACUAUAAAUGUAAAAAUAGAAGCUAACUAAUAUAUGGCUGCACGUUGGGUACAUUGAGUGCUAAAAUAUUGAUCUCUCCCUUAAAAGUGAGGUGUUGGUAACCUAUAGGAACGCUAUAAGACAAUAGGGCAGAAGCUGUAAUACCUCAGAUCUACACUGCAAGAGAGGAAGACACAUAGAUAAUCAUGAAAAAGCAAGGGAGGAAAGUGCCCCAAACAAACCAAGAUAUUACAACAAUAGAAUCCAUAGAUAGCACAGUAAGUGAAAUGUCAGAGAAGGUGUUCAGAAUAUACAUAACAAAAAUGAUUUGGGAAUUAAAGAAUGACCUAACUGAGCAGAUACAGGCAAAAAUCGAUCAUUCCAACAAAGAGAUAAGAGAGUAAAUACAGGUUGCAAGAGAUUACUUCAAGAAAGAGAUAAAGACUAUGAAAAAAAAUAGAAAUCCUUGAAAUGAAAGAAACAAUAAGCCAAUUAAAAAACUCAACAGAUAGAAUGACCACUUAGAAGUCAGGACAUCAGACAAUAAAGAUAAAAUAUACAAUCUUGAAAAUAAAAGUUGACCUCAUAGUGAAGGUGGUAAGAAACCAUAAACAGAAUAUCUAAGAAUUAUGGGACACCAUCAAAAUACCAAAUUUAAGAUUUAUUGGCAUAAGGAGUGUUCAGAGAUUCAAACCAAAGGUAUGCACAAUCUCUUCAAUAAAAUAAUAUCAGAAAAUUUUCCAAGCAUGAAUGAACUGGAAAAUCAAAUACAAGAGUCCUAUAGGACACCAAAUGUACAAAAUUAUAACAGAUCUACACCAAGACACAUUAUAAUAAAAAAUGCCUAGCACUUAGAAUAAGGAUAGAAUUUUAGAGGCCACAAGAGAGAAAAAUCAGAUUACCUAUAAGGAAAGACCAAUUUGGAUCUUAGCAUAUUUUUCAACCCCAACUCUCAAAGCCAGGAGAUCCAGGAACAACAUAUACCAAGCUGUAAAAGAUAAUGAUGCCAACCAAGAAUAAUAUAUCAAGCAAAUUUAAGCUUCAAAUUUGACGAUGAAAUAAAAACUUUCCAUGAUAAACAAACACUAAAAAGAAUUUAUAGCAAGAAAAUCUGCACUACAGAAUAUUUCUUGGCAAAAUAUUCCACAAGGAGGAAAUGAUAAACAAAAAUGAAAAUCUGCAAAGGGAAAGAACUACAAUAAAGGAAAAUCCAAACAAAGGAGGAACCAAGUCAAGUUAAAUACCAAAAAUAAACAAAAAUGACCAGUAAUACAACUCAUGUUACUUUCAACCGUUUUUGAUAAAUUUUUACACAUAAAAAUUUUAACUACAAUAUCUUUUAAUUUUUCAGGUUUUUGUUAAUUUUUGUUUUGUUUUCCAUUUCUCUUCACAAAGUUAUACAAAUAUUUUCUUUAAAAAAUUUAGCAUUUUAUACAUUAUAUUUUAAUAUAUAAUGAACCUGGUAUGUGUAUAUAAAUUGCCUGUGAUAUGAGAUGAGAUAUAUUUUACUUUCUUAUUAUUAAAAAAAUUCAAGAUUCAAGGAUGAAAAAG